rnacentral:rRNA from 1 species
UACGUAGGGGCCGAGCGUUGUCCGGAGUUACUGGGCGUAAAGCGCGCGUAGGCGGGUUGGUAAGUCCGCUGUGAAAGCCCGGAGCUUAACUCCGGAGGGUCGGUGGAUACUGCCAGUCUUGAAGGUGCUAGGGGGAGAUGGAAUUACCGGUGUAGCGGUGAAAUGCGUAGAUAUCGGUAGGAACACCAGUGGCGAAGGCGGUCUCCUGGGGCAUUCUUGACGCUGAGGCGCGAAAGCUGGGGGAGCAAACGGG